rfam:Cavia porcellus supercont2_22 genomic scaffold, whole genome shotgun sequence.
GGGGAUUUAGCUCAGCGGCAUAAGCGCCUGCCUUGAAAGCAGGCAGUUGUGAGUUCGAUCCCUG